UGUAAGCGUAUACCAAAGUUGUUGCAGUUAAAACGCUCGUAGUCGGAAUUUGGCAGUUCCGGAUGUGUGCACGUCGUGUGCGCACUUCGCGGGGAUUGCUUUUGUGGUCUUGCGUAGGAUGAGGCACUUUUAUUAGUGAACGUCCUCACGCAACCACUUUUUACUGUGAGAAAAUCAGAGUGCUCAAAGCAGGCAUUUGCCGUGGAUGUAUUAGCAUGGAAUAAUAGAAUAGGACUUGGUUCUAUUUUGUUGGUUUGUUGGGACUGAGUAAUGAUUAAGAGGGACAGUUGGGGGCACUUGUAUUUCGGUGCUAGAGGUGAAAUUCUUAGAUUACCGAAAGACAAACUGCUGCGAAAGCGUCUGUCAAGGAUGUUUUCAUUGA
rnacentral:rRNA from 1 species